UUCGCUCCUGACUUAUUAGAGAAAAAUAAGGAUUUGCAUUUUGAUUUGUUGAGCCUUCAUUUCGUUGGACUUGUCUGCUCAAGAAAAUGCACAGAAGCUCUGGAAUUUGCGCAGGCGAAGUUGGCUCCUUUCGGAAAGGUGCAAAAAUAUGUUGAAAAGCUUGAGGACUUCAUGGCUUUAUUAGCUUAUAACGAGCCAGAAAAGUCACCCAUGUUUCAUCUAUUAAGCUUGGAGUACAGGCAGCAAGUUGCCGAUAGUUUGAAUAGAGCAAUACUUGCGAAUUCAAACCUCCCCAGCUAUUCUGCAGUUGAAAGGUUGAUGCAGCAAACAACUGUCGUAAGGCAAUGCUUAAGCCAAGAAUCCAGUAAGGAAGGGUAUCCAGCAUUUGCUUUGAAAGACUUUUUGAAGAGCUAGAGCCUAGGUGAGCCAAUUUAGGGACAUGUUUCCAGCACUCGGAGUAGCGUUUCUGCACCUUGAAGUCGUUUAGCAGCUAGAUUUUCAUGGCCUACUUUCCGAAAGCAAAAAAAUG
rnacentral:misc_RNA from 1 species